rnacentral:tRNA from 1 species
GGAGGGCUCGCCUAGUGGCCGAUGGCGCUGGUCUUGAAAACCGGUAAGGGAAACCUUCGUGGGUUCGAAUCCCACGCCCUCCGC